CGAGAGCCAUAUAUAUAUACCAGCCACCGUUUGGUAUUGCUUUCACCCCGCCGCUGCCUGAACUGUCUUAAAUUGUCGUUAAAAAAAUUUUUGUUUUUUUCUCCUUCAGGGCAACAACUGCACAACUUCCCAACCCGGGAUUCGAACUCGCGGCGAGAGCCAUAUAUAUAUAUAUAUAACCGGCCACCGUUUGGUAUUGCUUUCACCCCGCCGCUGCCUGAACUGUCUUAAAUUGUCGUUAAAAAAAUUUUUGUUUUUUUCUCCUUCAGGGCAACAACUGCACAACUUCCCAACCCGGGAUUCGAACUCGCGGCGAGAGCCAUAUAUAUAUAUAACCGGCCGCCAUUUGGUAUUGCUUUCACCCUACUACUGCCUCAAUUGUCUUAAAUUGUCAUUAAAAAAAAUUGUGUUUUUUCUCCUUCAGGGUAACGACUGCACAACUUCCGAAUCGGGGAUUCGAACUCGCGGUGAGCGCCAUACAUAUAUACCCGCCGCUGCCUGAAUUGUCUUAAAUUGUCGUUAAAAAAAUUUGUUUUUUCUCCUUCAGGGGAACAACUGCACAACUUCUGAACCCGGGAUUCGAACUUGCGGCGAGAGCCACAUAUACACCGGCUGCCAUUUGGUAUUGUUUUCACUCCCGUCGCUUCCUGAAUUGUCUUAAAUUGUCGUUAAAAAAAUUUUUGUUUUUUUCUCCUUCAGGGCAACAACUGCACAACUUCCCAACCCGGGAUUCGAACCCACGGCGAGAGCCAUAUAUAUAUACCAGCUACCGUUUGGUAUUGCUUUCACCCCGUCACCCCGCCGCUGCCUGAGCUGUCUUAAAUUGUCGUUAAAAAAUUUUGUUUUUUUCUCCUUCAGGGGAGCGACUGCACAACUUCCAAACCAGGGAUUCGAACUCACGGCGAGAGUGCCGCUAGGGUGCUCCCGCUGAGGUAUCUCUU
rnacentral:lncRNA from 1 species